rnacentral:rRNA from 1 species
GACAGAGGGUGCAAACGUUGUUCGGAAUUACUGGCGUAAAGCGAGUGUAGGCGGUCUGAAAAGUCAGGUGUGAAAGCCCUGGGCUCAACCCAGGAAGUGCACUUGAAACUGCCAGGCUAGAGUAUCGGAGAGGUUGGUGGAAUUCUCGGUGUAGAGGUGAAAUUCGUAGAUAUCGAGAGGAACACCGGUGGCGAAGGCGGCCAACUGGACGAAUACUGACGCUGAGACUCGAAAGCGUGGGGGAGCAAACAGG